rnacentral:rRNA from 1 species
GGUUGGUCAGCCACACUGGAACUGAGACACUGUCCAGACAUCUACGGAUGGCUGCAGUCGAGAAUCUUUCGCAAUGGGGGAAACCCUGACGAAGCGACGCCGCGUGGAGGAUGAAGGUCUUCGGAUUGUAAACUCCUGUCGGCCGGGAAAAAAUACUUACUGAUAACAUCAGUAAGUUUUGAUGGUACCGGCAAAGGAAGCCACGGCUAACUCUGUGCCAGCAGCCGCGGUAAUACAGAGGUGGCAAGCGUUGUUCGGAUUUAUUGGGCGUAAAGGGUUCGUAGGCGGACCGGAAAGUCAGAUGUGAAAUCCCACAGCUCAACUGUGGAACUGCAUUUGAAACUUCCGGACUAGAGUGUGAGAGGGGUUAAGGGAAUUCCCGGUGUAA